AUACGGAGGGAGCGAGCGUUAAUCGGAAUUACUGGGCGUAAAGCGCGCGUAGGCGGCUUUGUCAGUCGGAUGUGAAAGCCCUGGGCUCAACCUGGGAAUGGCAUUCGAUACUGCAGAGCUAGAGUAUGGUAGAGGGAAGUGGAAUUUCCGGUGUAGCGGUGAAAUGCGUAGAUAUCGGAAGGAACACCAGUGGCGAAGGCGACUCACUGGGCCAUUACUGACGCUGAGGUGCGAAAGCGUGGGUAGCAAACAGGAUUAGAAACCCCAGUAGUCC
rnacentral:rRNA from 1 species